AUACGGAGGGUGCAAGCGUUAUCCGGAUUUAUUGGGUUUAAAGGGUGCGUAGGCGGUUUGAUAAGUCAGCGGUGAAAUAUUUCAGCUUAACUGGAAGGGUGCCGUUGAUACUGUCGAGCUUGAAUUUAGUUGCUGUGGGUGGAAUGUGUGGUGUAGCGGUGAAAUGCAUAGAUAUCACACAGAAUAUCGAUUGCGAAGGCAGCUCACAAAGCUAAUAUUGACGCUGAUGCACGAAAGUGUGGGGAUCAAACAGGAUUAGAUACCCUGGUAGACCACACUGUAAACGAUGAUAACUCGCUGUCGGCGAUACAUAGUCGGUGGCCAAGCGAAAGCGAUAAGUUAUCCACCUGGGGAGUACGACCGCAAGGUUGAAACUCAAAUGAAUUGGCGGGG
rnacentral:rRNA from 1 species